rnacentral:lncRNA from 1 species
GCACCUCCAUGUCAACCUCCUCCAAGGGCUCCGCAGCCACCUCCUUUGCCUCAGCCACAGCCAGCACCGAUGUACCCAGAGAGGCAAGAGAUAGGGGGAUAAGCAGUAGUAGAAGAUCGCCCCUGAGGGAAGAAAUCUAUAUGAUAAUUAGGGGGUUGUUUAUGGUCAGCAGAGCUUCUAUAUAUGAAAAGAUCGAGGC